GCAAACUUGGUCAUUUAGAGGAAGUAAAAGUCGUAACAAGGUUUCCGUAGGUGAACCUGCGGAAGGAUCAUUAUCGAAACGGGAAAGCCUAGGAGGGGAGACCCUCCGAAGCUUUCGACCUUCUCAACACCCGUGUGCACCCACUGUAGGACCUUCGGGGCCUACGUCUCAUCUCUUCGACUCCGCAUGUCUACAGAAUGUAUGCGUCGCCUCGGCGAUGGCAAAGCUCAUACAACUUUCAGCAAUGGAUCUCUUGGCUCUCGCAUCGAUGAAGAACGCAGC
rnacentral:misc_RNA from 1 species